UGCCAGCCGCCGCGGUAAUACGGAGGUCCCAAGCGUUGUUCGGAUUCACUGGGCGUAAAGAGUGCGUAGGUGGCUUUGUAAGUUUGAUGUGAAAGCUCCGAGCUCAACUAGGAAAUUGCAUUGAAAACUGCAUAGCUAGAGGGUCGGAAGGGAGACUGGAAUUUUGGGUGUAGCAGUGAAAUGCGUAGAUAUCCAGAGGAACACCAGUGGCGAAGGCGAGUCUCUGGACGAAUCCUGACACUGAGGCACGAAAGCUAGGGUAGCAAACAGGAUUAGAUA
rnacentral:rRNA from 1 species